GUAUGAACUUUUGCAAGGCUACAAAUCUUGUUAAUGGUGAAGCUAACGUUCAGACCCAAGUGGUUCGGCUCUAGACUUUGUCUCAGUUACUGAAUUGAACUCUCUGUGCACUUACCAUGUGUCAUACCAGCUCUCACUACAUAGUGUCCCAAAAGAUUGGGCCUGCUCUUUCUUUCAGAGACAAUUAGGAAAAAAGUAAACAAAUGGAGCAGGAUUUGGGCAUAACAGCAUGCUCCUCCCAUCCCCCAAAUCCCAGGAGUGUCACUGAGGCAGGAGAAUCGCUUGAACCCAGGAGGCAGAGGUUGCAGUGAGCCGAGAUCACACCACUGCACUCCAGCCUGUAAUGUCUUACAAUAACAGAAUGCAGGAGAGCACAUAUCAAUGAAGAAAAGACAAAAUGUACUUAUCCAUGAAGCUGAGGUUAAGAAACCAGUGUCUUCAAGAGCCAGGGACAGCACUGGGUCUGUGCAGAGUUGAGAGAUGGUGAUGACAUGUGGUUUCCAGCAUUCCUCGCCCAGUCCAGGGACACUGUGGGUGUGCCCAGCUUAAGUCCAGUCCAGUAACUGGAAAUACAAGCCCAAGUUCUGGAGAGUUUGAGCUGCAGAGAUAUAUAUGGGAACACUUUGAACCUUGACUCAUUGGCCAUAACCAGUAGAGUGGAAAAUACAAGAAGAGAAAAAAACAUUGAACUGCGAUUUUAUAACAUCCUUUACUCGGCAGAGAGAAGAGGAAACACCAGGAAAGAAAACUGUAUUACGAUGUGAAAACUUAACGUUGAGAAAUUCAGGCAUCUUGGGGUUAGU
rnacentral:antisense_RNA from 1 species